AUAAACAAAACCCUAAUCCUCUCAAACCCUACACCUAUCCGCCACCCCCACUAUUCAUCAUAUCAUCUUCCUCCAUCUCCCUAACAAAAAAUCCUAGCAGCCCCUCGCUGCUCCUCCUUCACAAAACCAAACGACCUCACUCAACGACCUCUCAUUUUCCGUCGAUCAGCAGCUGCUUCACCGCCUCCAGCUGCUCGGCACCCAAACAGUCCCGACCUCAAACCACCUCCAGUCACGUCGAACACCCUCCAGCCAGCUCGUCACCAUAACAAUCUCCACGCUGAAACUAGCCCAUCAAACACCAGCCUUCACAUCUAGCUCCCCGCCGACCAGCCCAGCUCGUCCAUGAACGAGCAACCUCGAUGAACAGUCCAGUACUAUCUCCAGCCACGAACCAAACAAACACCCGUUUCUGCUCCUGCUGAUUUAUCCAUCACCCUUCAGUGCCGGAAAUAGUCCAAACGACACCCUUUUGUUCCAGUUCGGUUGUGACGACGACCACCAUGAACGACCAGCUUCUGCUUUGUCUUUUUUGUCUCCAUAAUCAGUCCUUUUAACCUCGAAAAGUUUGGGUCUGAGUUCGAGUUUAUGUUCGUCUUGUUUCGAUUUUGAUGAGGUAUUUUUCGUCUCCUUUUUGUUCUAUUUUUGAUAUUGUUAUUUGCUUAGUUUAGUUGUAUUUCAGUUUUUGUUCAUCGUUUGUUUGAUUGUCACAGGUUAUAAUUAUUGAGUCGUUUAAAUAAAUUCGUCGAUCAGUCCGUUCAUGUUUGUAGUUUGUGUUUUUCGUCAAAUGGUUUGAUGUCGAAUGUGUUAUGUGUUAAUCCUUAGUCAUUUAACUCAUUGUCAGUAAGCAUAUAUUUUGUAUAGUUUUGACUUAGAAUGUUGAUAAGAUUCACUCCCUGUUCUGUUUGUGCAUCGUACUGUUUUAGUUUUUUCCUGUUUUUCACCGUAUUGGUGUUCUCCUAACACAUUCAUUUUGUCUAAAUGUCAGCUUAUUCCCUUUGAUCUGAUGUUGUAUGAUUUCAUCUGUUUUCAUAAAUUUGUUUAUGGAAUUUGAUCAGGAAUUGGUUAUAUCUGGUAAUCUUAUUUUAGUUCUUAGAAAUUUUUUGAAGUUUGAACAGAUUGUUUAGGAUAGUAAUUUCAGUAGUUUCAGGGGUAAUAUGGGAAUUGAAAAUAUAAGGAAUUAUUUAAAAUAUAGUGGGGAACAUAAUUAUGUAAAUUAAAAAGAGGGGACAAGACAUGGGGGAGCAUAAUGAUGUAAAGUAAAAAGAGGGUGGACUGUGGGGUCCAUAUUUUACUGCUUUUGCUGAUUGGGAAUUAGAAAUAGUAGGUAAUAAUAAAAGUGGAGGAAUAAUAAUUAAAGGGUAGGAGAAAAAGUUCUUGCUUUUGGUAUAUAAUAGGAGUCGUUUUUGAGUUAAAGAGGAGGAAUUUAGAGAGAGAAAAUAUUUUCAGUACUAGAGGGAAAUAAAAAAUUUCAGAACUUACAAAAUUUCGUCUUUGAGAAUUAAAAACUGUAAGUGAAGUCUAUAUUUACGACUAAAAAUCGUAACACUGUUACUGGUUCUGUGGUUUGCAUUUGGCACUGCUGAUUUAUGGAUUGAAUUCAUGGGUUCCUGCUUGGGUUUCUGGUAUUGGUGUUGCUGUUUUAUUAUUUAUAAUAUGUUAUUGGAUGUGGGAUCAUCACUGUUGGUUAUAAAAUCUAUUACUGGGUUAAUCCUGUGUUGAUGAACUGCUGUUGUUGUGUGUGUGCUUCUAUUGCUUCCUACUGAUCUUCAUCUUCUUUGUAUUCCAAUACCAGGUACACCACUUUGAAUCACUUUGAUGUACGCCUUGAAGAUGAAAUGAAAUGGCAGAAAUUUAUGUACUUAGUUAUAGUACAUUAGUAUUUUAGUUAAACAUUAGUUAUAUAUAUUUUCCCGCUAUGCAUUAGUUAAUCUUUGAAUCUUGUUAGUAAUAAAGGCCGGCAAAUAUUAGGCAAAUAUAAUAGGCCAUUUAAUUUCGUAGAAUGAACAGGCUUGAUGUUUUAUGUGUGAUUCAACGUAGAUAGGCUAAGAACAUUAAUCCAUUAGGUGCGAGUUUGAGCAAG
rnacentral:lncRNA from 1 species